GACGAACGCUGGCGGCGUGCCUAAUACAUGCAAGUAGAACGCUGAAGGAGGAGCUUGCUUCUCUGGAUGAGUUGCGAACGGGUGAGUAACGCGUAGGUAACCUGCCUGGUAGCGGGGGAUAACUAUUGGAAACGAUAGCUAAUACCGCAUAAUAUUGACUAUUGCAUGAUAGUCAGUUGAAAGGUGCAACUGCACCACUACCAGAUGGACCUGCGUUGUAUUAGCUAGUUGGUGGGGUAACGGCUCACCAAGGCGACGAUACAUAGCCGACCUGAGAGGGUGAUCGGCCACACUGGGACUGAGACACGGCCCAGACUCCUACGGGAGGCAGCAGUAGGGAAGCGUCGGCAAUGGACGGAAGUCUGACCGAGCAACGCCGCGUGAGUGAAGAAGGUUUUCGGAUCGUAAAGCUCUGUUGUAAGAGAAGAACGAGUGUGAGAGUGGAAAGCUCACACUGUGACGGUAUCUUACCAGAAAGGGACGGCUAACUACGUG
rnacentral:rRNA from 1 species